GAUGAACGCUAGCUACAGGCUUAACACAUGCAAGUCGAGGGACCGGCGCACGGGUGAGUAACACGUAUCCAACCUGCCCUUUACUCGGGGACAGCCUUUCGAAAGAAAGAUUAAUACCCGAUAUAAAGGAUGGGGAUGCGUUCCAUUAGGUUGUGGGGAAGGUACCGGCUAACCAAGCCUUCGAUGGAUAGGGGUUCUGAGAGCAAGGUCCCCCACAUUGGAACUGGGACACGGACCAAACGCCUACGGGAGUCAGCAGUGAGUAAUAUUGGUGAAUGGGCGCUAGCCUGAACCAGCCAAGUAGCUUGAAGGAUGAAGGCUUAUGGGUCGUAAACUUCUUUUAUAUAAGAAUAUGUAUUAUAUGAAUAAGGAUCGGCUAACUCCGUGCCAGCCGCCGCGGUAAUUC
rnacentral:rRNA from 1 species